rnacentral:tRNA from 4 species
GGGGCUAUAGCUCAGUCGGUUAGAGCGCAUCCCUGAUAAGGAUGAGGUCGCAAGUUCGAUUCUUGCUAGCCCCACCA